rnacentral:misc_RNA from 1 species
UGGUUCCGGCAUCGAUGAAGAACGCAGCGAAAUGCGAUAAGUAAUGUGAAUUGCAGAAUUCCGUGAAUCAUCGAAUCUUUGAACGCACAUUGCGCCCUCUGGUAUUCCGGGGGGCAUGCCUGUCCGAGCGUCAUUGCACACCCAUCAAGCCCGGCUUGUGUGUUGGACCCGCGGCCCCAAGACCCUCUCCCAUUCGUUUGGAAGUGGUCGGACCGCGGGGCUGGAAUGCAGUGGCGGCGUCGUGAUUUCGGUGCCCUGAGUGUAUGGGAAUCAAAACCAGUUCACGCUCAAAAGGGUCCGGCGCGAUCGUCCCUCAAACUCGAGGCCUGCCCCUCCCCGGGCGGUCUCCCCCUCUCAUGUUUGACCUCGGAUCAGGUAGGAGUACCCGCUGA